GGGUUGGGAGUAUGUUGGUCAGUGCUGGCCUUCAGAUUGGCGCCUGCAUUCCUCUUCCUCUUUCUGAGGGCCAGCUGCCCGCAGACAGCAGGAAACACGGGGCAGGAGCUGAGGGGAGCGGACGGAACCCGGGUCCUGUGAAAAUGACUGCGGGCAAGCCCCAUUUUGGCAAGGCCCUGCCAGACACGUAGUGAUAUCACCCUGCCCCGCCAGACACCCGUGUGCUCAAGUCAGGCUUCAGAGAACACAGCAGAAUGCUCUGUGGAACUCUUGAUAGCCGUCACCGCUGCCGCCUGGCGCUCAAGCUGGUAAAGGAGUGGGGGAGCCCAGAACUUCAGGACACGCCAAAAACAGCUCUGCCGUGUGCCCAGGUGCUGUGAUCCAGAGCUGAAAGCAUCCAUGGGUUUCACGCCCCUCUGUGACGAUGAGUUUCCUACCUCAACUUGGCUGGAAGUGGUAUGCAAGGAUUUCAUCACGCACUAAUCUAGGUGCCGCAGUGAAGGCAUUUUGCAGAUUUGGUUAAUACCUACAAGCAGCCGACUUCUAGGAGAGUACCUUCAAUAAUGUGGGUGGGCCUCGCCCAAUCAGUUAAGGGCCUUAAAGAGCAAAGACUGAGGUCUCAGAGAAGAAGAAAUGCGGUCUCGAGAUCAUCGUGUCAACUCCUGCCUGGGUUUCUGUCCAGUUGGCCUGCCCUAUGGAUUUCAGACUUGCUGGCCCCUGUAAGAGUGUAAGCCAGUUCCUGAAAAUAAAUCUGUGUCAAUAGAUUUGGAGAGAAAAGAGAUAUAUAAAUACACAAAGCUAUAUAAAUACAAAUAUGCUAUUAGCUCUGUUUCCCUGGAGGUCCUGGCUAAUACACACUCAGUCCAGCUGCCUGAUCCCCUGAGGGCAGCACCCAAGCUGCCAGCAGAGAACUGAAAUCCCUGUGGCCUUGAGUUUGGCCUUGACUCCUCAUUUCAGUACUGCUCUGACCCUCAUUAGUAGAAAUGGAUUUGAGUAGACAUCCUAGGGCAGAAGGGGUUUUUAAAAGCCUGGCACACCUUCCUGCAGCCACGGACCCAGGGAUCAGCAGUAUAGGUGAGGGGGGGGUAGCAAUCCAUAGAUCAUGGGCAGAUGCAGCCUCCUGCCCUUCUGUAUGAAUAAAGUUUUAUUGGAACACA